GCCUUCGUAGUGUAGUGGUCAGCACGCUGGGAGCAUGUUCCAGAGGUCCGGGGUUCGAUUCCCGGCGAAGGCG
rnacentral:tRNA from 1 species